AUGCUGGUCUCUCAGACUGAAGACACAAUACACAACCUGACUCGAGAUGAAAAAACAGUGAAGACAUGUGUGGGAGAGCACCGUGCUCCAACAGGCCCGCAAAAACACGCGGACGCAAGCACAUUGAACGACUACCAACCAAUAAGCCUUAUCCACCUGGUGGCGAAGAUCUUCGCCAAAGUACUCUCCCUUCGACUUGCCCCCAAGCUGGAUGGUCUUGUCAGACGGAGCCAAAAUGCGUUCAUCGCCGGUCGAAGCCUACAUGACAACCUCAUUCUAGUCAAGCAAUCGGCCCGGCUUCUCCACCAGUUGGGUGCCCCGCGAAUCUUGCUCAAAUUGGACCUCACGCAUGCCUUCGACUCUUGGAGGUCCUGCGCCAAUAUGGCUUCGGGAACAGGUUUCUGGAGUGGAUCACUAUCGUCCUCUCAUCAACAAGCACACGAGUACUUACGAACGGCGAGCCAGGCCCACCUAUUUGGCACCGCCAGGGUGACCCCUGUCACCGCAGCUGUUUGUGCUCGUUGUCAACAUCUUAGGCAGGCUCAUCAAGCACGCAAUUGA
rnacentral:rRNA from 1 species